UCCACUGCCGGGUGACAUGCUUCAUCAAUGGAUGUGGAUAUUACAUGGGACUCCAGGGAUCACAUAAUCUAAGCCAGUGACACUUGGCAUUGGAUUUGAGGGCCACCUGGGUAAUCCAGAUUGAUCUCAUCUCAAGAUCCUUAACUUCAUUACAUCUGCAAAGAUCCUUUUACCAAAUAAGCUCACAUUUACUUAUCCCUUUUUUUUUUUUUUAAUUUUUUACUUAACCCACUCUAGCAAGUCUAUGUUCCUCAAAACCAAAAUAAACGCAGUGGCUCAGUGUCAGUACUACUAAGUCCAGGUAAA